rnacentral:rRNA from 1 species
GACGAACGCUGGCGGCGUGCCUAAUACAUGCAAGUAGAACGCAGUUGCGAACGGGUGAGUAACGCGUAGGUAACUGCCUCAUAGCGGGGGAUAACUAUUGGAAACGAUAGCUAAUACCGCAUACUGUGAGAUGGACCUGCGUUGUAUUGGCUAGUUGGUGAGGGAAAGGCUCACCAAGGCGACGAUACAUAGCCAACCUGAGAGGGUGAGCGGACAAACUGGGAAAGGUACACGACCCAGAGUCCUACGGGAGGCAGCAGUAGGGAAUCUUCGGCAAGUGACGGAAGUCUGACCGAGCAACGCCGCGUGAGUGAAGGAGGUUUUCGGAUCGUAAAGCUCUGUUGUUAGAGGAGCGAUAACUAACCAGAAAGGGACGGCUAACUACGUGCCAGCAGCCGCGGUAAUAC